rnacentral:lncRNA from 1 species
UAUCUGGGCGUGGAACGAUCGAACAGAGAGGAGAAAGAAAGGGGUGAAACCCUAAUUCAUGAGCAGACCUUCAAAUUGAAAGGGGAAUUGAAGCCUAGUUGAAUGCAUGAACUAAGAAUGAUGAUCCUCUAAGCAUACCCAACAUCAAUAUGAAUGUAUGUUGGUUGGAAUUCAUGUUGAAAUUGGUCAUGGAACGUGUCAAGGAGAGGUCAAGCAUAGGAGGAUAACGGGUCAAGAUAAGGCAAGGUGACAAAUACACUUAUUGGAGUACUCGAGGUAUGGGAUCGUUGGCUUCAUGAAGAAAUGGAGCUGGAUUUGGAUAAGAGUAUUUAAGAAAGCGCUUGGACAAUUCCACGACUACUUUAUAGAAUGCUCUACGAAAUUCUAUUAUAUAGUUUAAUGUUGUAUGGUAUGUUAAUGACUAAUGGUUUGGUUGUACGUGGUGUCCACAGGUAUCGCUUGGGUUUUCUCUACAUUUAUUGAAGUCAUGCGGACUUAGUUCGAGUUGAGAGCAAGGAUUGUACGGGGAGAAUGGUCACAUAGUGUAACUCAUAUAGGUUUUGAAGUAUUAAUGUUAUAAAACGUUAUAAAUCCGUUUUAAUGAAUAUAUGGCAUUUCGCAUCUGAACCUUCAUGUGUUUGAUAUGUCUAUUAAAGAACGAAAUUUUUGG